rnacentral:rRNA from 1 species
GUUAAAAAGCUCGUAGUUGGAUUUUGGUACAGGAGGGGCUUGGCCCGCCAGGAAAUGGUGUGUGCUGGUCGCUCGGUACUCCCUACUGGAUACUCGCCGCUGCCGUUCGUUCGGUGGCGGUCCCGGGGCCGCGAGGCGCCGGGUGCGGGCGGGGUCUGACGCGGGGGAUGUGGACGAGUUACGCCUUCGGGGGUGGCUCGGACUGCCCUCGCGGCUUCCCGUCGGUAGGGUUCCAGUUAGUUUACUUUGAGUAAAUUAGAGUGUUCAAAGCAGGCGUUUUGCUUGAAUACUAUUAGCAUGGGAUAAUGGAACAGGACGUUGGUUCUAUUUUGUUGGUUUCCGGAACUAAUGUAAUGAUUAAAAGGGAUAGUUGGGGGCAUUAGUAUUUAAUUGUCAGAGGUGAAAUUCUUGGAU